rnacentral:rRNA from 1 species
AACGUAGGUGGCGAGCGUUAUCCGGAUUUACUGGGCGUAAAGCGUGUGCAGGCGGGGGUACAAGUGGUGUAUGAAAUCGCCCGGCUUAACCGGGCAGGGUUAUGCCAGACUGUACCUCUGGAGUGCGAGAGAGGGGCGUGGAAUUCCGGGUGUAGCGGUGGAGUGCGUAGAGAUCCGGAAGAACACCGGAGGCGAAGGCGGCUUGCUGGGCGUGAUCUGACGCUGAGGCGCGAAAGCGUGGGGAACGAACAGG